rnacentral:lncRNA from 1 species
UCCGGUACUUUUUUAUUUUAUUGAGGUUGUGGAGUAACAUCACUUGAGCCUCACUAACCUGUCUAGGUUUCCAUUCCCAUCGACACAUUUGAAAACUGCUAGUUAUAUCUUAAAACGGGUAGGGGUCUGCAUUCCCCACUGAUUUACCAAAAAAGGGGUCUGCCAAUGCCAAAGAGCGGUUCGACAGCCCAUGUAAGUCAUGUGAAUGUCCGAUCAAAAUUAAUUUUUUGUAUAUACAAAAAGGAAUUUUAAUAAAAAAAAAUAUACCAUUUUCUAUUUGGAGGUAUUCGCUAGAAAAAUAUAUUUUAAAAAAAAAAAGUGAGAAAAAAAAAAAAUGGUUGGGAUAACCUGCACAUAAAGUCUAGUUAUUUAUAAUUUUCCCGAAAUAAAAAGAACGAACGCAAGCGAAUCGAGGCGCGUUCGGAACAAGAGCGAGAGGGGACUUGAUUUGCGGCGCGCAAGCGAGCGGCUGCCUCCCCGUCCCAGUCACGCGCCGAGAAAACGUGUGAGAUCGACAAAUGCCGCCUAUAAUGUCAACAUGCCGGUUGAGGUGGUCCUCCUUGCCCAACACGGAACCCGCGCUUCUCCUCUUAACACCGCCGUCCCACGCGUGGAGCGCCAGGAAAGCGCCACGUGGGUCCACUCGCCUCCCAACAAUAAUGUGCCGCCACCCUCCGGGCCCAGGCGGCGCUAAAGGCCCCGUCAUUCCGCUCCUUGACUGCGCCCUCUUUCCUUCAUUUCACUUUCAACGCAACAUCGUCCCCCC